GCGCACCAGGCGCGAAUACUUUACAAUGUGCGAAAGCACGAUAAGGGAACUCUGAGUGCCUCCUAAGGAGGCUGUUCAGGUGUCUAAAAAGACACCUGAAGGAAGGGCUGGGUAAGACCGGUGCCAGCCGCCGCGGUAACACCGGCAGCCCAAGUGGUAGCCACGUUUAUUGGGUCUAAAGCGUCCGUAGCCGGCUGGGUAAGUUCCUUGGGAAAUUUGGCUGCUUAACAGUCAAGCUUUCAGGGAAUACUGCCCGGCUUGGGGACCGGGGAGAGGUCAGAGGUACUCCAGGGGUAGGGGUGAAAUCCAUUAAUCCUUGGGGGACCACCGGUAGCGAAGGCGUCUGACCAGACCGGGUCCGACGGUGAGGGACGAAGGCUA
rnacentral:rRNA from 1 species